rnacentral:rRNA from 1 species
GUGCCUAACACAUGCAAGUCGAACGCGCUCCAUUCGGUAGCAAUACUGAUGAAGAGCGAGUGGCGAACGGGUGAGUAGCACGUGAGCAACCUGCCCCGAAGACCGGGACAACACCGGGAAACCGGUGCUAAUACCGGAUAUCCCUAUCGGACCGCAUGAUCUGAUAAGGAAAUGGAUUCCGCUUCGGGAGGGGCUCGCGGCCUAUCAGCUAGUUGGUGAGGUAACGGCCCACCAAGGCAUCGACGGGUAGCUGGUCUGAGAGGACGAUCAGCCACACUGGGACUGAGACACGGCCCAGACUCCUACGGGAGGCAGCAGUGGGGAAUCUUGCGCAAUGGGCGAAAGCCUGACGCAGCAACGCCGCGUGGAGGACGAAGGCUUUCUGAGUUGUAAACUCCUUUCAGCAGGGACGAUAGUGACGGUACCUGCAGAAGAAGCACCGGCCAACUACGUGCCAGCAGCCGCGGUAAU